AAUGCACCAAUCUGCAAGUCGCUCUGGAUAAGAGCGUCUGCUAAAUGACAUACA
rfam:Salmo salar isolate Sally breed double haploid chromosome ssa13, whole genome shotgun sequence.